rnacentral:rRNA from 1 species
GCGCGAAAGAGCUUUUUCGAAUAUCGACCUCAGAUUAGACGAGAUUACCCGCCGAAUUUAAGCAUAUAAUUAGGCGGAGGAAAAGAAAUUAACAAAGAUUUCCUUAGUAACG